UACGGAGGGGGCAAGCGUUAUUCGGAAUUAUUGGGCGUAAAGGGCUCGUAGGUGGCCAACUAAGUCAGACGUGAAAUCCCUCGGCUUAACCGGGGAACUGCGUCUGAUACUGGAUGGCUUGAAUCCGGGAGAGGGAUGUGGAAUUCCAGGUGUAGCGGUGAAAUGCGUAGAUAUCUGGAGGAACACCGGUGGCGAAGGCGGCAUCCUGGACCGGUAUUGACGCUGAGGCGCGAAAGCCAGGGGAGCAAACGGG
rnacentral:rRNA from 1 species